UAUUGGCCUCUUUUCCUGGAGCUGGACUUGUGCAAUGCUUACAUGUAAAAAUAAUCCCACUGAGACCCCCCUAGCUGCUUUGAUUGCAAAAAGCCAAAUGUUCCUACCUACUCUACAGCAAGAAAAGGAGCAGAGGGCUCUACAAACUGGAAGAAAGAACAAGACAAAAGCACAGAUGAGAUAGGAAAGAGCUUUGCCCCAUAUUCCUGCAGCCAACCCACUUGCAAAGAGUAUUUCCAAGGCUUGUUAUUCACAUGCAAGAUCCCAGCAACAGUACAGAACUCACUGAAGAUGUGUGAUAUGGAAUCACUUCCCCAGCAGACUGAUCCUGCCCCCAGAAACUUGCCAUUAAAGUGGCAACUGUCUGGUUCAGACUCCUGCUGACAGGGAUGACAUUCAAGAAAAGUGAUGGGUAAAACACCUUAAAAUGGAUGUUUCUACAUUUGCUUGCAUACUACUGGGAUGACGAACUCUGCAAACUUCAGCGUGUGAACCCACCAAAACAGGGCUUUUUUGUUUCAAAAUGUGUGAGGCUGUAAGUGGAAGAAGAGAUGCCUCUUUAUUUGGGUGUACCAUCUACGUGUGAUUAUCUUUCCCUUCUUUCAAACAAACUUCAUCUGAAAUCACACAAGCUAUGCCUACACAGCUACCAGCACUUAAUACCCCCUUUGAUGCCACUGCCAUAUUGACCAGCACUUCUCUACUGGGAGCAACUAUUAAGCUCCACCAGACUGUGAGAGUGAAAAGCAUCUGCAAAUAUUGGCUACAAGUCUAAAUCCUGACCCACCUGCUCUAGAGCAUGAGCAGCUGCUGGCAGUAAAAGCAAAUAAAUGCAUGCUUUCCAGAAAUAUGUCGUAAUAGUGAAAAAUUGUCUUUAAAACAUGGAUUCAGCUCUUCAAGGCUGCCUUUCUAUAUAAGCCCCUGAGUUUGAGAAAUACAGGUUUAGUGUGUACCUGGGUGAGUGCAUUCCCCACCUUGCUGAACCUCCUUCACCUUUAUUCAAAAGGGUUUCUCCCUCUGGCAAAAGGAGAGCAGAAGUCUUUCAUGUAUUCACUUCAAUAGUUCCCAUUUAUUCCCGUGUGCUUGGCAGCCAUCCUUCCAAGUAGCCUCCAUAGUUUGUUAACAUACUGCAUUUAUUCAUCCCAUUUUACAGUUUGUUGAACUUUCCCUUAAACUCUUCUCUUCAACCAAGAAAUUCAACUUUUACAGUCAAAGGUAGAGAAACAUCUUAAUGCCAUAUAUUUUCCACCACCUGCCCCCAGGCCUUUUAGAUAUAUUUGCGUACUUUUUGCAUAAAACUUUUUUGGGUAGUGCCCAUAAAACACAUCAUAUUCUUGUGGGUUUUUUUAAACUUUGGGUUCUUUCCAUGUAGGAAUAAAAUACUCUCACAGAAUGCCACAUAGCAUAACCAAACCUUCCAAUUUAUUGUGCUGUUUGGGAAAUUUCUACUCAACAAACUGGGCAGUACCUUUUUUAGGAGUCAUAGAAAUGCUGAAGUACAACAGCACAACACACAUUUCCAAAGUAUUUUUAUCACAAUCUUAAAACAUCCACAUUUCAUUUCUAUCAAGAGAAAGGGUAUUUUACUUGCAUGACUUGUCAAAUUGCCUUCAGAUUUUUUUUUAAAAGUUUAAAAAUGCUUCAGUUAAUGUUAAAAAGGAUCAGUACUAUAAUCUUUUAAAACAUAUCUCCAAAAACAAAUUUCAAUCUAUAUGGAUACAUGUUUUUUCAAACAAAGGAAACCAGAAACUGGAACUUGCCAUAAAAACAAAAUCAACCCUAAAACAA